UAGUCAUAUUAAGCAUUUUAAUUUCAAUAUAGCACCAAGAAUUCCAUUUGUACAAGAAAAAAUAUUUGUCAACCAAACCACCAUCCUGUAGGUACGAACUAAAAGGUUAUGGCAUAAAUAUUACAAGAGGAACAUAGCAAAAGAAAUUACUAAUAAGAUCACAUCACACCUCACUGGGUAUUUCAAAGAAUACGAGCAUUCAACUUCUGGAUUUGACUUGUAAUGCUCAUGAAGCCAUGCAUACCAAUCUCUCUGGAGGAGUAUGUAUCCUUAUUUUGUGGCAUGAGCCCCUUACUCCACCGCCUCUCAGCUCGAUCACUGCCACUUCUUUCCAGACUGCCAUCCACAGUUUCCUCAUAAUUUUCUCUCAUGGCUCACUUAUUGUCAUCAGUGCCAACAAAUUGUUAGAGUACAGAUAAAAACACAAGGUCUAAUGGAAUAUUUUCUGUAUAUUUCUAUAAUGUAUUAACUCAUACAAGCUUUCUUUCGUCUUGGUCAGAUAGCAGUAAUCUUCUUUUGGAGAUAAAAGUAAUGAGCAAAUUAUGUGCUCUAUUUGUCUACCAUGGCAGGCUUCAAAGAUAUCCAAAUUAUAUCCUCAAGUUCAUCGAUACAACAAUAAAAGUAAACAAUGGCCUAGAUUUGUGGAGGCAUCUUUUCUCAAGCAUGGUAGCACCUUGAUAGAUACACAAUCAAUUCCUUCUUCAACUUAGAUACAUACAAGAGAUGAGGCAAGUAGACAAGAUUCAAGAAUUCGACACUCACCUUAGCAUCUUCUGUUCUCUUUGUAGUCCCAACUACAAUGGAAUCACGCAAACAUCAACCGAAUAGAUUUGUAAAAAAAUGAAGUUAACAGGAUACAAGCCUGCAAAUACUAUCUNGGUAGAGUGAUACCACGUACGUAAUAUCCAAACUCCCGCGGAUGCAUCCCAACUCAACCUGUGUAUGAUCAAUGAUUAACCAACAAACAUUAUGGAGUAUUAUACAUAGACAUACAAUACAAGGCGUUUGGGAUGCGUACCUGUAGAGCGUCAAUGGAGUCAGAAUCAACAUCCUUUACAGUCCAGUGUGAAGUAGCACUAGUGUUUGGAUUUGGCUGGGAGGAGAGAUUGUCGACCACCAAAGCGAUUCCGCCACGGGAGGAGGAGGAAGAAGGGGAAGGCGGAAGAGUGUGAAGGACCUCCUCGUAGCCAUCGUCCUUCCAGUAGACCUUGGGCUUGUAGGAAGUAAUGUGGCCAUUUGGAAUGUCGAGCUUCACGGAGCUUCCAUUUCUGACGCUCAGCUCAACCGUCGCCGAAUCUGAAAACUUUAUGCCUUUGCGUCCGAAUUUCUGGUCAAGACUCUCUGUCGCAGUUGCAGUUGCAGUUGAAGGCGCAGCACAAGCUUUAGCAGAUUUAAGGGGGGAGAAGGAUAGAAGCGAAGCCAUUCUCACUCACUCAACUCUCACAGAUUAAGCUAAGCAAGAGGAUCUCUCUCCACCAGCAAAUAUUUACCUCGUCCCAUCCCCUCUAUUUUUUGGAUAGACCCACCUCCGCCUCUUCCUGCACUUACUUACUAACUAACUAUUGUUUUUGUUUUUAUACUACCCCAAAUAUUACGCGUUUCAUCACAUAAUAUCUUAUUCUCUUCAAAACAACAAUUACGUUUAUUAUUUAUCUUCCAAAAAUGGGAUGACUCAUAUUUGUGAUACCAUGAUUAGUAUUAUUAUUAUUAUUAUUAUUUUUUAAAAUUGAAAAUAAAAUUUAUUAAUAUUAUUAAUUAUACUUAAUUUUAUUUAAAAAAAUUAUAUACCAUGAUUUCGAAUUUAACAACCUUGUAUAGUUGUAUUAACUAAUAAAAUUAAUAAUUAUAUAUCAUAAUUGGAUGAGAUAAACCCUAGUUAGUAAUUACAAUAAUAAAAUUGCAAAUGGUAGUGGAAUAUCAAAUGUAGUACAUUGGACCUAAAAUGCAAAAGUAUUAGUAGUAUACAAAUAAUUGAUCUUUUACUCGACUAAACUGCCAUUCAUCGCGGCAUAAGUAACUAAGUUGUGUAUAAAUCUAAAAUUGAAAGAAUAUUUUAGGAAAUCCUAGUAACCACCAUCUUCAAGAUAGAAAAGUUGUGCAAUUGUGGUGUUCAUGAUUCCAAGAAAAGCUCCUGUUAUUUUUACGGUUCUCCUGCCAUCUUCAGUCAUUUGAACAUAUGCAUCACUAUUUAUAGCAUUGCCAGAUAUCAAGAAUUUAAACAUGUGACCGGUUGGCCAGUACUGCGAAACCCAAGUUUCAAGUAAAUAAUAAAAACCAAGUCUUGAAAAAAGAAUCUUAACUUCCCUUUCCUCUUACUCAAACUCAACAUGUAAACUUAAAGCAUCCAUCCCACUUCCUUCCCUUGAGGCUGAGCGGAAUGCACAAACACAACCUAUUAGUCAUAUUAAGCAUUUUAAUUUCAAUAUAGCACCAAGAAUUCCAGUUAUACAAGAAAAAAAUAUUUGUCAACCAAACCACCAUCCUGUAGGUACGAACUAAAAGGUUAUAGCAUAAAUAUUACAAGAGGAACAUAACAAAAGAAAUUACUAAUAAGAUCACAUCACACCUCACUGGGUAUUUCAAAGAAUACGAGCAUUCAACUUCUGGAUUUGACUUGUAAUGCUCAUGAAGCCAUGCAUACCACUCUCUCUGGAGGAGUAUGUAUCCUUAUUUUGUGGCGUGAGCCCCUUACUCCACCGCCUCUCAGCUCGAUCACUGCCACUUCUUUCCAGACUGCCAUCCACAGUUUCCUCAUAAUUUUCUCUCAUGGCUCACUUAUUGUCAUCAGUGCAAACAAAAACACAAGGUGAUGCAGGUAGAAGCGUGAAAUAUAUUUGAUAUUGAUAAUUAUACGAACUCCGUUGAUAACCAUUGUAUGCCGGAAUACGUACAAUAAGGGUUAAUCCGUUGAUUCACUCAUGAAUACCGGAAGAACACAAUGAGAAGGGAACAAUCCCACCCUCU
rnacentral:lncRNA from 1 species